rnacentral:rRNA from 1 species
UACGUAGGUGGCAAGCGUUGUCCGGAUUUACUGGGCGUAAAGAGCGCGCAGGCGGUCGGGUAAGUCGAAUGUGAAAGCCCCCGGCUCAACUGGGGAGGGUCAUUCGAUACUGUUCGACUCGAAGGCAGGAGAGGGAAGUGGAAUUCCCGGUGUAGUGGUGAAAUGCGUAGAUAUCGGGAGGAACACCAGUGGCGAAGGCGACUUCCUGGCCUGUUCUUGACGCUGAGGCGCGAAAGCUAGGGUAGCAAACGGG